CCUACGGGGGGCUGCAGUGAGGAAUAUUGGUCAAUGGGCGGAAGCCUGAACCAGCCAAGUCGCGUGAGGGAAUAAGGCCCUGCGGGUCGUAAACCUCUUUUGCCGGGGAGCAAGGGCGGGGACGUGUCCCUGCCCGGAGAGUACCCGGAGAAAAAGCAUCGGCUAACUCCGUGCCAGCAGCCGCGGUCAUACGGAGGAUGCGAGCGUUAUCCGGAGUUAUUGGGUUUAAGGGGUGCGUAGGCGGGCUUUUAAGGCAGCGGUAAAAAUUCGGGGCUCAACCCCGUCCGGCCGUUGAAACUGGGGGUCUUGAGUGGGCGAGAAGAAGGCGGAAUGCGUGGGGUAGCGGUGAAAUGAAGAGAUAGCACGCAGAACCCCGAUUGAGAAGGCAGCAUUCCGGCGCCCUACUGACGCUGAGGCACGAAAGUGCGGGGAUCGAACAGGAUUAGAUACCCCUGUAGUC
rnacentral:rRNA from 1 species